rnacentral:rRNA from 1 species
GACGAACGCUGGCGGCGUGCUUAACACAUGCAAGUCGAACGGAAAGGCCCUGCUUUUGUGUGGUGCUCGAGUGGCGAACGUGUGAGUAACACGUGAGUAACCUUCCCUUUACUUUGGGAUAACUUCAGGAAACUGGGGCUAAUACCGGCUAGGAGCUCCUGCUGCAUGGUGGGGUUUGGAAAGUUUCGGCGGUUGGGGAUGGACUCGCGGCUUAUCAGCUUGUUGGUGGGGUAGUGGCUUACCAAGGCUUUGACGGGUAGCCGGCCUGAGAGGGUGACCGGCCACAUUGGGACUGAGAUACGGCCCAGACUCCUACGGGAGGCAGCAGUGGGGAAUAUUGCACAAUGGGCGGAAGCCUGAUGAAGCAACGCCGCGUGCGGGAUGACGGCCUUCGGGUUGUAAACCGCUUUCGCCUGUGACGAAGCGUGAGUGACGGUAAUGGGUAAAGAAGCACCGGCUAACUACGUG